UUUAUUUUGUAAUAAUGUACUGUAGUGGAAAAAUCAAGUUGACCGGUCCAGACAGAAUCCAAUUCCAUUGAAUCCAAUGCACAUUGAAUUUUUAUAACAAUUCGGAAUAAAUGUUCAAUCACUAAGGAAAUGCCAUUAUGUCAAUCAUGCAUUAUGCAUGUACAUCUUUAUGAAUAUAAAAUAUUCCCCUGAAAUGACCUAACAUUGCGUUUCAAUUGUAUUUGUAACAUUUCUAGUGUUCCAAAAAUGUGUUUCAUUGGGUUCGAGAUUACGACGUAUAACUGAAAAGGAUUCCAAUGUCAUUAAGAACGCAACUGGAAUGCACCAGCAUAUAGCAGUCUUAUGUUAUUUUUUGUAGUGACACCUAAUAGGAUAACAUGUCUUUCCACAAACGAUCAAAUUGGGAAAAAAAUGUUUGGUGAAACACGGUUUUUAAAAACGACGCAUAUCGCUAGAGCUAACCACGCAAUUAGUUACUGGAUAUAUACAACCCUGACUCACUGACUUGAUUUCAGGAAAUACAUGGCCAAUUUACCAAGCAAUACUUCGCCACUGAUGAUACCAAAGAAAUACAUUUCGUUUCAGCGGAUCAAGGACAAGAUAGGCAAAUGACUGUUCAUGUUGAUUACCAGCAGGAUAUAUUGUUUCACCAUCGCUGUCC